GACAGAGGGUGCAAACGUUGUUCGGAAUUACUGGGCGUAAAGCGCGUGUAGGCGGCUUUGCAAGUCGGGCGUGAAAUCCCACGGCUCAACCGUGGAAGUGCACUCGAAACUGCAGAGCUAGAGUCCUGGAGAGGAAGGUGGAAUGCUUGGUGUAGAGGUGAAAUUCGUAGAUAUCAAGCGGAACACCGGUGGCGAAGGCGGCCUUCUGGACAGUGACUGACGCUGAGACGCGAAAGCGUGGGUAGCAAACAGG
rnacentral:rRNA from 1 species